rnacentral:tRNA from 1 species
ACCUGGUUGGCUCAGUCGAUAGAGAAUGUGACUGUUAAUCUCAGGAUCAUGAGUUCAAGCCCCAUGUUGGGUA